rnacentral:rRNA from 1 species
GACGGAGGGGGCUAGCGUUGUUCGGAAUGACUGGGCGUAAAGAGCGCGUAGGUGGUUUAACAAGUUGGAAGUGAAAUCCCAAGGCUCAACCUUGGAACUGCUUUCAAAACUGUUAGGCUAGAGUACGGUAGAGGGUGAUGGAAUUCCUAGUGUAGAGGUGAAAUUCUAAGACACUAGGAGGAACACCAGAGGCGAAGGCGAUCACCUGGGCCGAUACUGACACUAAUGCGCGAAAGCGUGGGGAGCAAACAGG